rnacentral:sRNA from 1 species
GUUUCUAAUAAGUGACCGUGACCCACAGUGCAACCUCCACUGCUCCAGGACUCAACCCAAACCCAUCUGUGCCUCUGAUGGCAGGUCCUAUGAGUCCAUGUGUGAGUACCAGCGAGCCAAGUGCCGAGACCCGACCCUGGGCGUGGUGCAUCGAGGUAGAUGCAAAGAUGCUGGCCAGAGCAAGUGUCGCCUGGAGCGGGCUCAAGCCCUGGAGCAAGCCAAGAAGCCUCAAGAAGCUGUGUUUGUCCCAGAGUGUGGCGAGGAUGGCUCCUUUACCCAGGUGCAGUGCCAUACUUACACUGGGUACUGCUGGUGUGUCACCCCGGAUGGGAAGCCCAUCAGUGGCUCUUCUGUGCAGAAUAAAACUCCUGUAUGUUCAGGUUCAGUCACCGACAAGCCCUUGAGCCAGGGUAACUCAGGAAGGAAAGGUGAGUGGAGUUUUAUGCUUUAUCUAAAUGUUUGCUUCCAAAGGUGGUCCAAGCAGGAUUUCUUAGAUGAGAUAGAAGGAGCCUGGGGUGAAAGCCUAAGGUGUCCCGCAGAACAUCUUCUCC